rnacentral:rRNA from 1 species
AUUGAACGCUGGCGGCAGGCCUAACACAUGCAAGUCGAACGAGUGGCGGACGGGUGAGUAAUGGCUGGGAAACUGCCCGAUGGAGGGGGAUAACGGCGGGAAACGGUAGCUAAUACCGCAUACCAUCGGAUGUGCCCAGGUGGGAUUAGCUAGUCGGUGGGGUAACGGCUCACCGAGGCGACGAUCCCUAGCUGGUCUGAGAGGCUGACCAGCCACACUGGGACUGAGACACGGCCCAGACUCCUACGGGAGGCAGCAGUGGGGAAUAUUGCACAAUGGGCGAAAGCCUGAUCCAGCCACGCCGCGUGUAUGAAGAAGGUCUUCGGGUUGUAAAGUACUUUCAGCGAGGAGGCGGUACUCACAGAGAAAGCACCGGCUAACUACGUGCCAGCAGCCGCGGUAAUAC